AGUGUAGGCGGAAUCAUAAGUUAGAAGUUUAAACUACGGGCUCAACCCGUAUUCGGCUUUUAAUACUGUGGUUCUUGAGUAUAGGAGAGGGCGAUGGAAUUCCAGGUGUAGCGGUGGAAUGCGUAGAUAUCUGGAAGAACACCAGUAGCGAAGGCGGUCGCCUGGCCUAAUACUGACGCUGAGGCUCGAAAGCUAGGGGAGCAAACA
rnacentral:rRNA from 1 species